AUGAGCAGCCCCCGCUCCUCGGCGGCGGCGCCGCUGGACGACGACGACCUGCUCGCCGAGAUCCUCCUCCGCCUCCCCCCGCAGCCCUCAUCCCUCCCCCGCGCCUCCGCCGUCUGCAAGUUCUGGCGCAGCCUCGCCUCCGACCCCGGCUUCUCCCGCCGCUUCCGCGCGCACCACCGCAGAAACCCUCCCCUCCUCGGCUGCUUCGUCCAUGAUUUUUGCGAGGUUCGCUUCCAGCCUACCCUGGAGCCCCCCAAUCGCGCCCCGCAAUCCCGCUUCCCCUUCGCAAUCGCCGCCGGCGACCGCUUCCACAUCCUCGGAUGCCGCCAUGGCCUCGUACUCAUCUUCCACGACUCACAGAAGCAGCUCCUGGUGUGGGACCCCUUCACCGGCGACCAGCACCGCCUGGACAUUCCCCCGGGGUUCGCCGUGGAGAAAACCUGGAUCGGCGCGGCGGUGCUUCGUGCUCCCGGAGAUUUCCACCAUUUCCAGGUGGUCUUGGUAGGCAACAGCGACAUUCAAAGCACACAAGCGGUAGCCUCUGUUUACUCUUCAUUGACCGGUGUAUGGGACAGGCUCAUCUCAACACCGCUUCCACCAGAGGAUUCUGGUUUUCUCACCAUGGUUUACACGGGCAUGCCUGCUGUGAUGGUUGGGGGUUCCUUUUAUUGGUUGCUUUAUGGGAAUUCGCAAGAAAUCCUUGAAUUUGAUUUGGAUAAGCGGAGCCUGGCUUUAAUACCCAUGCCAGUGGGGAACACUCGAGACAUGGGCGAAGGCAAUAUUUGGGUUAUGCCGGCAGAGGGUGCUGGCCUUGGUUUCCUCUUCCUGAGAGGCUUUUGUGCCCAAUUAUGGAAGAGGAAGACCGACUGCAAGGGUGUUUCUUCAUGGGUGCUGGGAAGAAGUAUUGAUCUCGACAAGUUACUUUCCUUGAAUUCAGAGAUGGAGAUAGGGUACCCAUCGAUACUAGGGUUUGCAGAGGACAAUAAUGUGGUGUUAUUGUGGACGUCUGUCGGCAUCUUCACGGUCCAGUUUGAAUCAUUGCAGUUCAAGAAACUUUUCGAAUCCCAUGACUGGUAUCGCUGUUGUCCAUUUGAAGGUGUCUAUACUGCAGGUAACAAGAGUUAA
rnacentral:rRNA from 1 species